CUUGAACGCUGGCGGGAUGCCUUACACAUGCAAGUCGAACGGCAGCACGGACUUCGUUCUGGUCGGGAGUGGCAGACGGGUGCGUAAUGUAUCGGAACGUGACCCGUAGCGGGGGAUGGGUACAAGAAAGGGAAGCUUAUACCGCAACCGCCCAACGGGUGAAAGCCAGGGAUCGUAAGAGCAAGACCUCUUGGAGCGGCCGGUGUCGGAUUAGCUAGUUGGAGUGGUAACGGCUCACCAAGGCGACGAUCCGUAGCUGGUUUGAGAGGAUGAUCAGCCACACUGGGACUGAGACACGGUCCAGACUCCUACGGGAGGCAGCAGUGGGGAAUUUUGGACAAUGGGCGCAAGCCUGAUCCAGCCAUCCCGCGUGUGUGAUGAAGGCCUUCGGGUUGUAAAGCACUUUUGUUAGGAAAGAAACGUCGCGGGCUAAUACCCCGUGGAACUGACGGUACCUACAGAAUAAGCACCGGCUAACUACGUG
rnacentral:rRNA from 1 species